AGAGUCCCAGGCAAUCGGGACAGAGAGACUGGCCCAGCAGGGGCUCUCUGGGCCAACUGAGCAAGGUGACAGGGCCCAAGAAAGGAGCUGCUGGCUGCACAAGGGCAGAUGGAGUCAAGGAAUCAGUGUCGUGGGAUCCUGGCUGUCCCCACAGUGUCAUGGCUGGGCCUUCCAAGAACAGAAGCAGGUGAAGUACAGGGAGCUGGCCGCUUCGCAGAGGAAGGACUGAUAACAAAUGGACUCAAUGCAGCACAGACAUGGGACACCGGGGGGCCGAGUGAGCAGAGCAGACCGUGAGUGCCGCACGUGCUCGGGGGUCAACAGGGACCCAAGCGCCCAGAAAAGGCGGAAAGCACACAAAGGGGUCUGAAAAAUGGGACCCUCGGUAGAAAGCUCUGGGAAAACCAUUAUCCAGUCUCUGUGCCCAGAAGCGCUGUCUGCCAGGCUCUGGCCAACUUGUAGCCUCUCCAUGCUGAAAAUGACCCCCUAAAAAAGCCGAAGGAAAAGGACCCCGCACACAGCCGCGAACCACAUAUACACCAAGAGAGCCUAAGGUAAAAAAGAUAAACUUUAAAUCAAGCAGAAACUUUUUCCAGCAACUUCCACUCUUGUGAUACUGAACUGAACUGAAGUGACAGAUUUUAAGAGUUGCCUGAAUCUUUUGGAGUUAACCUGGUUAUUGACUUUAAAAGUCUAAUUGUGAAAUUGACUUUAAAAACUCUAAUUGUGAAAGAAGGGGUCUCUUCUCUCUUUGGAAUGGCGCUCUCACUAACAAUUUUCUUGAUCAGAGGACCCAACAAACAGCAAUAGAAUAGAACAUUAUGGAUUGCUGGGUGAGAGUAUUUUUUAACCUGCUUCAACCUAAAACUGCAAAAUAAACUGGUCCAAUUUAAUUUAAAAAGUUUCAUAAUUUCUGACCACUGAUCUACAUUUCUGAAAGGUUACAGAAAGGUUACACACACGUGAUGUGUGUGUG